rnacentral:lncRNA from 1 species
GUUGGACAUAUGAAGUGUAAACCUCCUCUACCUGAAAGAAGCUGAUAGAAAAGCAGGGGAGGGACCCACACACAAAGGAAACAAUGAGGCUAUUCUGCUCUGGACCAAAAAGGUCACCAUAGACCUCACCUGUUCAUCUCAAAAGCCAGUCUUCCAUGAAGUGGGAUGGACCCUCUUUGGGUUCUUUGGAUUCAACACCUUCACUUGACCAAACAAGACCAUUCUUAGAGUGGAGUGGAAGUCUUCUUCUAGGAGCUUCCUCCAACAGGGAGCAGGAAGACUGUCGCAUUUGUUGCAUCUGUUUCUCUGGAAGACUGGGAAGCCGCAUUAAAAU